ensembl:lncRNA
GGGAGACAGAGGGAUGUCUGGUGUGUGUCUGGCGUGUGCGUGUACAGCGGAGGAGUUUAGCACACUUGUAGAAGUCCUUGACUAAAGUCAUGUUGUGGGGGGGACAAAAGAGGCCGCGGACGCCCUGGAGGAAGCCUUGACCGGAGGGAUUCAACACCUUUCCUCAGCGCAUCAGUGGGAUGAGCUUUGAAUGUUGAAUAUUUAACAGCAGCUAGCGGCGCUACCGUCAUUGAUUAUUGCCCAAGAAGUCAUUAAAGCUGCCCUUGCAGACCAGAUCUGGGGCCUGACUUAAUUCAACCACAAUACAGCGAUCGAACUGUUUGUGUGAAAGGUGUGGUUCUGAAGUUUUCCCUUUUCACGAGAGCACCUCAUGAAACUGCGUUGCAUAUCUUGCAUGGAUUCCCACAACUGUCGGGUGGAAUGUGCGCUCUGCUUUUGUUUAUCUGUGUUCUAAGAAGCUUCUAAUGAGGUUUUUAUAAGGUGGUUUCAAGACACGGCUGCGCCAACAUUAAACAAACAAACAGGACUCAAAACCAGCGUUUCAUGUGUCUGUCGGCAGCUUCUGGAGUCUAUAGUUGUGGAAAAUUCCAUGUUUCAAAAUAAUUGAGCGUAAUGAAACCAGGAGAAGAGAAGAAGCCCCGAUAUUAAAGUGUCCCGGUCUCACCCUUUGCUGAGCAGGAGAGGAUACUGAUGAUGCCGCUGGAUGCAACACACAUGUUUUCAUUAGGCGCAUAUACCUUUUUUGAUUAAUUGGAUUAAUUAAGUGGCUGAAUAGUCAGCCAAGUGAUAGCAUAACAGGGUUUUGUGUGCAAAUCUAAUUUGAUGGGUGUGUUUCUGUGAAGCAGAGAGGCUGUCAGACUGAGAGGAAAAGAGGUACAUAGGGUGUGUGUGCGUUUGCGUGUGAGAGACUUAUCCUCACUGACCUCCACUGUUGGUUAGCCCGAGGAUGAAGGGAUGACACAGUGGGAAUGGGUAAGCUAGUGUGGGCGGCCUUCGGUGCAAGAGGGAAAACACGUAGAUGGAACGCUGUCAGAAUUCAGAUGCGCUUUUUAUCAUCAUAAAAAAAACCUUUGAACAUUAGUGUGGAGAUGUUUAUUUUAGCGUGAACAAUCAACGCGGAGGCGACUGGUGGUAUCUACAAGCCACUCCUGCAUUUUAAAUCAUACCCCACUGUGCUGAAAUCUCCAUGACCACAGUAAUAAUGCACUGCGCAUGCAGUGGAAAUCCUUCAGCGGCUUGCAGCAGCUCAGAAGUUCAGGUCAGUUAGACAUGUUUUGCAAUAUUUCUUGAGACAUUUUGGCAGUUUGACUUAACGGACAAGAUCCACAUGAGUAUUAUCCAAUCAACAGGGUCCCCAAUGGGCACUGGUGGUGGAGGCUAGGUCGAGUGGGUAAAAAACGUAUUAACCCAUAAACGUAACGUAAAAUAAAAUACGGCUAAAAUAGACUGCAAGUGUUAAAGCUGCAGCAUAGCUGGUCUUUGGCUUAGUUGAUAUAGUGAAUAUUUGCAUUUACAUCCAACAGAUACAGAGCAACAUCAUUAACGGACUUUAGUUGCUGAGCGCUCCAGUUUACGCUGAGACGCUAUAGUUAACUUUGCUAAACGGUAACGUUCAGGUAACGCGAGUUUGAGCUUUUCUCUUUUUUACAUAAAGUCUGCUGUGAGGGGACACAAUGACGUGAGCGCAGUGACAACAAAAUAACAUUUCUGCUUUCGACAGCAAACCAAUACGCUCAAACUCACAUGCAGAUUUUCGUAGCGAGGUCAACCCAUUCUCCCCCAACACAUAGCUGAGGGGAACUGCAGGAUUGGGUAUUAAUCCCCUUUUAAGUCCUAAUCCAUUGUUAAUAUAAAAACAUUAUUAUUUUGAAUGUGAAUUGUGUAUGAAAUUGGAAAGGUAAAAAGUCAUAUUUUUGAAACUACCCCAAUCAAAGUGAAAAGCUCAGUGGUCUUCGCUCAACCCUUCGCCACUGAAAUCAUGUUUACGCAGAUUUGCGUCUGAGCCAAACACAAGAGCGGGUGAUUUCGCUGAUUAGUUCCUCCACCCUGACUGAAGGUGUGCUAAUCAGCCAAAUGAGACGCUCAAGUGUCUGACACGGACGCAUGGCUCUCCGCUGUUUGGUCUGUUGCAAAGUUUAUCUUCCUCUCACUUUUGAUCCUGCUACUUAAAGUCCAUCAGUUAAUCUCUUUCUCGCAUGCUCCCGUAGCCCCCGAGUGCUGCCAUUUCCAAUUCUCUCUGUCCCGUCCGUCCCACUUUUCUUCUCGCCAUCCCUCGUGGUGGAGCACAUGCCGAAGUUUUGCAUGUGAAUAAUAAACGACCUCUGAGGCUUCGGCCCCGGAGGGAGGGUACGAUCCCUGACCCGGGUUAUUUUUUCUGUCUGCUCACCUCUCGGGACCCUCGCGCUCGCAGCGGCUGGCCAGCUGCAGAGGGGAAUGCUGAGUGAGUGAGUGAAGUUACAUUUUUACAAAGGCAGGUUACUCAGGCGCCAACGUUUGUGUAUUGCGCAUGAGCACCAGACCUUAAUGCAGAUUAAUUAAAUAUCCAAAACGUUAUAAUCUGCUGCCUUCUAAGGGUGUAGCUUUAUCCCUCUUAGGGUAAUGGUCCAUCAUCACUUGUUGUUUCAGGUAAUUUAUUGCGCACAUCCUGAACCUCACAUUGGAAACAUCUGCUCACAACAAAACAAACGAUAAUGGAACACCAGCUUCUAGGUCCUUGUAAUGACGAUUACAAAUUCACAGCGAGUUUCUCUUUCCCAGAAGCCUUUUUAAAAAGACUAUCAUAACGGGGACAAAUGAGAGCAAGUCUCGCUCUAAUUGAUAACCUCAUUACAAGUCUCUACCGAGCUAUUUUACAGCGGCCCGCUCUGUGGCGCCCAGGUCACUGGCUCACCGCCGGGACUCGCAUUAUGAGACUAGUCGGCGUUAAGUCGUACGACCUGUUCGGGCCUCCGUGUGCUCCGCCAACAGCUUUCUGCUGUCAGACGGCUCUGCUGGACAAACACACAUCUCAACGGGGCGCCACGCGCGACCAGCUGCACUUUGAUGAUACAAGCGGAGCGAGGCGCACACAGGAAGGUUGGACGGAGGGAUCUGGCGUUGGGGGGGGUUUCAGCUGUCUGAGAUUGUUAUCACCAAAGCGGUCUGCGUCUCUGUUCUCCCUCUUUGCGAGAUGUCUGGGUGCGCUUCAAGAGAAGUACUUGAAAGAAAAAGUCUCAAAGACUCAACAAAUCAUGCGACUUUGUGUCCCAUUCAUAUACGUGUCUGUAGGUAGGAUAUCAUCAAUCACAGGCAGUAAUUGCUUACUUAAAUUUACCAAAAUAAUGUAGUUAGCUAAACCUAAAUUGAUAUUUUUUGGGGGGUAACGUUUUUUGAAAGGUUGACAAUGUAAAAGAUGUAAUACUGAUUAUACAGACUUUUUAUUUCUAUAUUUUCUCUUAUUAACUAUUCAUGACGUUGUAAAUUGACUACAGGGCUUCACGCCUGGUUUUCAUUGAUUAAACAACAACCCGGCUGCUUUCUUGAUGGUUAUUUUGUUAACUUUGUAAGUCUGCAGUAUGUUGUGCUGUUGUCCGUGUUCAUGAGCUCAAUGUGUGCUCAAUUAGCACAAAUUAUGUGACCGCACACAACGACCGACUUCAUCCUAACUAAAGAAGUCACAAGUCAAUUUAGAGAAAUUGAUCAAAGCGGUAGUCCAACGCCGCGCUUAAUGAAGCGUGCUUUUCAUCGAUUGUUUUCUUUAUUAGACAACAUGCAAGACCCUUAGCAAGAACUAAACAUCCAUUCAAGCAUGGACUAUGAAAAAUAAAAAAAAUGGCAGUAAAAUGAAAUAUUGAAUCUGCAGGCAAUGCAUUUUUAUAUUAUGAAGUACUAUUCUUUGUUAAGCAUCUCAGAAAGCUGUCUCAGAGCUUAAAACCUUUCUUAAACUGAUGAUUCGUUCUAUUCAGAGAAAAGGUUUCUGCUGUGACCACAAAACUAUUUGCAUAAUACACCGAAUAAAAUAUUUGCGCUGCUCUUCUGUCUGACACCUGUCCAAUCAGGCUCAAUCUCCAGCAGUGCUGACGCUUUAUUGGUUCUCCUCAAAGGCCUCAAGAUGCCGGCAUUUGUAUUGAAAUCCAUCAAAGCGCUGCUGCCACGGGUGAUGAGCUGCCGAGGGGUUCUCCCGUCUGCGUCAAAACUUUUACUCCUCACAGGGAUCAAGUGGAUUUUUACUUAUGCUGACAGACAGCUUCACGUCAAACAUUAAAUAAAAUGCUGUAAAAAAAAGAGUUAAAACCUAUCCUGAAAUAUUCUUUUGUCGUUUUCAGAAUAUCAUUUUUGGUUUUAAUGUUGGAGUUUUGAUAAACUGACUCAAUUUCCAAUUAGUUUGAUUAUCAGUCAUUCAGCAGUCGGACGGUAUAGAGAGUGUCAGGAUUUACUUCAACUUCCCAAAUCGUUCUCAAUUCUAAGCUCAGCUUGGCGGCAGGUUUUCCAACAAGGGAAAUGGCAGAACACUAAACCAGAGCAUUAAGGAUCAAUGAACAAACUGGGGGUGUCUUCAGUGAGUGGGACAAAUCACAGGCCAUGUAGUGUGCUAUGAAGUUAGCUGUUGGUUAAACCCAGCAUGCUGAGAGCGAGAGGCAGCGAGGAGCUCGCUAACAGAGCCAAUCUUGAUCGUCCCAUCGACUUGCAAUCAGAUUUUGACGUAAACAGCGAUGGUGAAUAUAUACAAAAUGAGCUCGAGAGAAUGCUUAGCAAAGGUUUCCUGAUGGAGGCCCACGGGAAGGUGGACUUGAGUGGCGGCUUGGCAGCCAGUGGUGGAGGGAUCCAUCAUGUCAUGACAGGGAGGAGAGGGCUCUGACAUCUUGGCCUGCCCUGAGAGGCCAGCGCCUGUCAGCUUAAUGAGGCUCCCACUGACAGGUGAUGCGGUUGUUAGAUUGGGGUCGUGUGUGUGUGUGUGUGUGUGUACGCACGGGGGGGUGGAUUUUCGCAGAAGUUGAACAAGCGCCUCCUUAGCGUGUCUGUUAAUGUAUCUAGCAUGUCGUGUUACUUUCACAUGCGCUUCUCAGGAAAAUCAAAGAUGUUAUAGGCUGAAUCCUAUAAUGUACAAUGGUCCCUCGAGUCGCUCCAACCUGACCGCGUUAACCUGUGUGAGUGCACGUGAAAACUUUGUGUAUUGAUAACUCUGUAAUCUCUCCUUCCCUCACUUCCUUUUACCCUUCAGUGCGCCUCCUUCCCUCUCGGACUCGCUCACCCCCCCCCCCCUCAAGCCACCCACUCAUCUUCCUUUCCCCAUGUGCGGGUAUUAGGUUCACACUGUGGAAUAUAGAUGAAUCCAGCACGGACACUUCUAUUGAUUUCUCCCACACCACGGACACCGGGGAUAAUGAAAGAGUUUUUCCUGUCUUCCCCCCAAGUAGCCAUGCGUCAUAUUUCUUCAGGAGGUCUGAGUGGAAGACCAAUUGAAGGAACUGAGCUCGAUGCUACUGAUGCGGUAGACGGUUCAUGUCUGUUACGUUCCCUGGUAUCGGUUUGAGGUUCUACUGUAAACAACGUUAGGGAAACAGAGGAUGUAAACACUGUUGUUGUUUCCUAUUGAUUGGCAAUUAGCUAAACCCCGUCCUCCUCAGUUAAAGGCGCUUUGCAUCGGUAUUUCCAUUUCCAUUACAUGCGCUUUGCGCCGCGAAUGGAGACAAUUUGCCACCUGAAAUUCUUCUGUGGAAAUGGGUUCUUGAUUUCAAACGGCGGUAGACAAAAGCACGCUCAUCAUUCCUAGCUGGAAACUCGACGACGGUUGAAAGCAGAUUUUAUGCGCUUCAGCCUGCUAGCUGGAUAGUUAUGGACUCCGUUGGAUGGAAAGCCUGUUUUUUAUUGUCUCCUGUAACGUUGGCUUACUUUUCCGACUGCCAAUUUUGGGUGAUGAAAGCUAUACGAUGUCAGGAAUGGGAUAUUAUCUGAACGUAAGUUAUUGUUUGUCAUUUUAUCAUCCCACAAAAUACACCCAGAAGACUUCCUGAAAGGCUUUGAGACACAAUUUUUUCAUUGUCAUUACAUUCGGUGUAAAUACAGUUUACAGUGAGAGUCGUUAAGCAGCCAACUGGGAGGUUUAUGUCACUUUCAUGCUGAUUGGAUGGGGAUUCAAGCCGUACAUUGUAGACUGAUGGACUGCCUGAAGCAAUGGUGGCCGUUUCAGAGCAGCGAGGAAGCUGAUUUCUCUUUUUUUAAUCUGGUUACACUGGGCCGGGCGUGUCCUCGUUUGGUUGCUCGUCGCUCUAAUGGCAGAAACACUCUGGAGGACUUAAUUACCACCCAAGCAGCACUCAGAUGCACGCUUGGAAUGCUAAAGACACUUGCCUUUUUAAUUGCUGCCAAUUCUUCCCAAAAAGAAGCCUCUCUUUUGUAUCCCAUGAAAGGAGUUCAGAGAAGGCCGCAGUAGAAAAGGCGAAAAUAAACAAGGUUACAAUACAGCUGAGAUCUGUGGGCACGUUAUUUCAUGGAUUUUGUCAGUGUCUUAGAUGUUGGUAUUGAUUGAGAGACAUCCCUUGGAAUCUUCCCUGUACAGUGUCAAACAGCGAGUGUGCUUAAAUAGGUUGUGUCUUUAUUGAUUUCUUCAUGAAGCUCUGCUCAGAUGGAAUAUUGAGCGGUUCAGCCUGCGCCGGCCCGGCCUGCUCUCUCACGUGUCUUUCUGCUCUGUGCACCCAGAAGGGCGCCUGGUCUCCACGGUGCUGGAAGGAGAGACUCCUGUCGUGGGAGCGUGACGAGCAGGUGCCCGGGUGCGUGCAGGUGUUUGGUGUCGGUCUCUCGGGUUUCUCUGCCGUGGCUCGCAGCAAACGAUCGUCCCUCACGGGAGAUCUCAGGUUAUCAGCGAUGAGAUUGUAUGGGGACAUGCACGCAGAUGAUUGAUGGGUUCCGGUGCCACGAAGGUAAAAGGACGCAACGUUAUGGAAAAGCGGCUCUCAAGGAGAGCGGUUUCCUGCUUAUUUUAACCUGACCACAAUUACAUUUCAAGGGUGCACGUCUUGCAUAUUUAAAAAUAGCAUAAACUGUCCAUGUAACCUCAGCGAAGAACUCCUCAAGGGCUUGAAAUCAUGAAAUGAUUUAUCAGAGUAGACACAUCAAUUUCUCUGCACUCACAAAUUCUGCUGCAUAUGCUUUCGGUUAUGAGAUUAUUUUCCAAUGAACGGUGUCACAGAUGUACAUUUUGACAACUUCAUUUUUUUUCAUACAAAAGAUGCUGUCACUUUUAAUCAAACCAGGACAUUUAUCAGUUUGGAACCUUUGAAUGAAAAUCCAGGAUUAUCUAUCAGUGCGGAGUACAUAAUUACCAUUAAUAUUCAGUGGAGGAACAUUCAGUCCCCCCUUAAUAUAUAUAGUAUAACACUAUUCAGACUGCCACUAACGAAAAUAUUCUGUUUAAUUAUAUGACGGCUGCACAGAGCCAAAGACAGAUUACGGAUGCAUAUGUGACAAGCUUAUUAAGAGAAGUUUAUAUCCAGUGUUAACCACACUAUAUGGAGAUCUUUUUUCAUACCGAUGAAAUGUAAACAAACAUUCGGGCCUCUCUACCUCCCGCUUCCCUUAUCCCUCUUUCGACCUCUUUUUAUCAGUGUUUUGCUGCUUUUUCCACUCGGACGUCCCGGUUUUUAUAAAAGAAGUUUAGAAGACUGGGAUAUGGUGGUCAGGGUUUAAUUCCGCCGUGGGUUUCGGUCAGCUAACUGUCUUCAUUUGAAACCAGGUUGGGUCGCCUUUCACUGUCAAAGAUUUUUCAAAUCCCCUCCAUAAUGUCAAGACCGCCGUUCCACGCAUGUGGGAUUUAGCUGGAAGGCUUCACUGGCAUUUCCUCAAAAGGUCACCUGAGCCAUUUACUCUUAUGUUAUUUGACUUUUCGAAUAUGCUUCCUUGUCGAUACGCUGGAUAGUAUUGGCACCUCUAGGUGGACCGAGUCCUUGAGCGUUAUAGUUAUUGAGUGCAGAGUGACGGGUUCAGAUGUUGUGCAACAUGUUAAAGCAGCUAAGUUUGAACGGCAUACGCUGACCAAAAUAAUAAUAAUAAAUAAUAUUCUCUUCAGAUGGACAAUGAUUUGAAAUCAAAGCUGUCAGACACAGACACAGAUCACCGUCAGUGAUAAAUGCCAUGUGAGCUGUUGUCACCAUUUCUCCCAAAUCACCUUCUACUUUGAAGUUGUUUUCCAGCAUCCAAAAGCGUUAUUGCCUGUUAAGGAUUUAAGCAAGAAGUGCACCCCUAGUGGUGGAAAUUAUAAUACGUGUAAUAAUGUUUAGUGUUAGAAUUGUAGUUAUUUGGGAGUGUUAUUAGAUAUUAGUUAUUACAUUAGCAUGUUAGAUGAAGUGAAUGCAAUAUGAAUCGAACACAAUUUAUAGUCAUGUAAAUCAUAUAAACAAUAUACACAUCAUCAUUCUGUCACAAUGUGAUGUUAAAACCUAGGGACGGAUGUUAAUUGCCGUCCUUUAUGGAUUUCUCCCAAUUUUAUCCCCAAAGAGGGUUUUUUGGGAGUUUUUUCUCCUGUCAGGUACCAGAUGAGCAACUGAAUACAAGACAGCCGAUUGAGGCAAAUGUCUUGAGAAUUGGACCACAUGAACUGUUUUAGAUCUUAUGAUGUAUUGUGAUGAACGGUGAUCAUUUAUGAUGUGUUGUAAUUAAGGUGUACUAGUUAAGAUGAGGACAAACUAUGCAUGCUUUGUUAUAUUCACUCAUUGAGGCAUAAAGCCAAAUGUAUCUACGUUGAAUGUCUUGGAAUGUGAGGGACAGAAAAGACAGCGAGGUCUCAGACCCCAUGCAGACGGACUCGAGUUUGCCUGAACCCGGGUUUAUUUUUCACACCUACCCACUUUUUAAAUCCCGUGCACAUGAACCCAGUGAAUCCGAUUGAUUGCUUCCACGGAAGCAUGCGUACAAGACAUGCGCGCCGUAUACAAAC